UCCUCCUUAGCUCAGUUGGUUAGAGCAUCUGGCUGUUAACCAGAGGGUCCUUGGUUCGAGUCCAAGAGGGGGAG
rnacentral:tRNA from 1 species